GAAUUAGCAAUAAUUAUAAAAAUAAUUUUUCGUUUUGAUUUGCUUAAUUUAGACAUGACAAACCUCUUAUUACAACCAUAGAAUCUGAGCUUU
rnacentral:snoRNA from 1 species